rnacentral:sRNA from 1 species
GUUGAGCGCGUUAGGGAUUGAAGCGGCAUCCUUUUUUUGAAGAGAUUCCUGCCUACGCAGGAAUGACAAGAAAAAAGAUAUAGCGAAAAGCCCGACCUUUA